AUUGGACGCAACGUUGCCGCUGUGACUUUUUAUAUUUUCAUUCAAUAUUUUGUUUCUAACCUGUGUUCGUGUUUAUCCUUUUGUGUAGUUUUAUCUUCGUGUUUAUUAAUUUGUGUUAGUUUGAUUUAUAGACAAUUUUUAUUGUGUUUGAUUUGGUAUUAUAUUAAAUUUGUUGAUUGUGCUAUAGCUUUAGUUUAGUAUUUUUAGGUAUUCAUAUAUUUAUUUUAAUUAUAAUAUUAGCUAUUAGCUAUGAAUAAUAAUAAUUUUGAAACAAAAUUGUUUAGUUUUUUUUUUAAGGAUUUGAAUAUAAUGGCGCCAACAGAAAUUGUUGACGAAGUCCUCACUGUUGAGGAAAUUAAAAUUGAAAAUCAUUGUUUAAGAGAUUUCCCCGAAUCAAAAAAAGAGAUGAUGGAGUGGUUGGCCAGAAGAGGCUUAAUAAAAAACCAUUUCACGUGCGAUGUGUGUGACAUUCCUAUGUCUCUAAACAAAUAUUCAGGUGGAAUAGACGGUUUUCGGUGGAAAUGCCGAUUAUGUACCACCCGAAAAUCGAUAAGGCAUGGCUCAUUUUUUGCUAACAGCAAACUUAGUUUGCUGCAAUCAAUGAUCAUUAUUUAUUGUUGGAGCAUAGAAAUGCCACACGAAGACAUUAAGAGGGAGGCCCACCUUGGUUCAAAUUCCACCCACACAAUAGUGGACUGGUGUUCGUUUUGCCGGGAAAUUUGUGAGGUGGACCUCAUAAAUAAUCCGGACGUUAUUGGGGGUUUUGAUGAGGAAACUCUCGAGCCCAAAACGGUGGAGAUUGACGAGUCCAAGUUUUUCCACCGCAAAUAUAAUAGAGGUCGGUGGACUGAGGGACAGUGGGUAUUUGGAGGAAUUGAAAGGGGAACAGGGAAAUGCUUCCUUGUUGAAGUUCCUGAUAGGACAACUGCAACCCUCCACGAAAUGAUUCAGAGGUUUGAAUGUAUUUCUGAUUAGGGCUUUGUAAUAGCUUAUAAUUGAUGAAUGCAUGCUCAUUUCCAAAUAAAUCGCAGAUUUUCCAUGGAAAUUUCUCGAUUUAUAAGGAAAAUUGCACUGUAGUUACUAUUUUUAGACAAAAAACAAUUUAUGGUAAGUGAUGUUUUAAACAAAUAUAUGCCAAACCAGAUGGAUGACAGGUAACAUUAAGACAGGUAGUAUUAAGAUUUUAUCAAUUAUGAUUUAUUAUUAUUUUACAGAAUACCUUUUGAGUUUAUUUUAUUAUUAUCUUACAGAAUACCUUUUGAGUUAUUUUUAUUUAUAGUUUCCUUUUUAAAAUUAAAAGUGUCAUGAUUUAAUAGGUAUAUUUUACCCGGAUCCCAUAUUAUAUCAGAUGGAUGGAGGGCAUAUGAUGGGGUAGAUACAAUUAGGGAUGGGAUCUACACUCAUGAUAGAAUUAUUCAUGAGAGAAAUUUUGUGGAUCCUGAUGAUGCCACCAUCCAUACACAAAACAUUGAAAACAUGUGGAUGAGGGCCAAAAGAAAGUUGCGGCGCCAAUUUGGAACGUCUGAAGCAUUAUUUGUUUCCCACCUACAUGAAUUUGUGUGGCGGAAUAAAUAUAGAAGAAACGGAAAUUUUUUUAGUUCAAUUUUAGUUUGUCUUAGGACACAAUAUGUUUUUAAUUAGAGUGUUUUAUUUUAUAUUUUUAUUUAUGUUAUGAAAAAAUUUUUCUAUAUUAUAUGCCUAUUUUUUUCAAAAUUUCGUUAAAAACCCACAUUUUCCUUUCUUAUAUUUUUUUAAAUGUUUUAUUUUUAUUCGUAAUGAGAACUCGGUGUUGGUCAAUCAAAUAAUUUUAAAUUUGAACAAUACUUAUUUUUAAGGUUUUCCCUUGAAAUUUUUGUAGAAAAAAAUUUCCACUGUAUGCCUAUUCUUUUUUCAGAAAGUUUAUUUAAAAAUUGAAUGUUUUCAAAAAAAAAAAGAAAUACCUAACCGAACCUAACAGUUCAUCAAAAAGAAAGAAUAUUUUUAAAAUAAAUAAACAAGAUAAUAAAAUUCCAAAAAUAUAUCAUAAAAUAAAACAAACAAGCACCAACGGAUAUCUCGUAAACUUUCAGUAAAUUUAAUCGAUAAUAAAUGUAACUUUAUCUGUGAUGGUAAAAUUGGUAAAACGGAAGUUUACAUAUUUGAUUUUUUUUCAAUCAAAAUUUUCCGUAAAUUAUUGAAAAUAUAAAUUAAAAAAAAUUAGGUUACGUUAUAAUGUACAUUUUUUGCUCGUCGGAAUGUUACAAAAUAUCUCACUAAGUAAUAAAAUAUCAGAUACGGCAACGUUGUGAGAAUUCUUGACGCUAAUGCGCCUGCGGGAACUACCAACAUAAUUUCAGGCCGCUAUAAUGCAACUUUACCCUAAGUUUUAUAUAUUAAUAAAUGAUUGUAAUUUAUUAUACAAUUGUAUGAAAUAUGUAAAUAAAAUAAUAACAUAUUAUUAGUACCAUAGUACUCGU